ACACUUUCUCAACUGGGAAGCUUCCUACAUGGUUAUGCCUGGAACAGGGGUCACAGCGUGGGUCCUGAGGAGGCUCUGAGGUUGAGCUCAGUUCAGAGAUGAUGCUUUCCCCAAAACCAGUUCACCAGAGGAGAUGUCAUGGUAGUGAUGUUCCCCAAGAGACCAGAGACCAGAGACCAGAUCGACAUAGGAAGAAGUACAUUGCUGUGUGUUUGUAACUCAGGCCAUCAUUUGAGGGUGGUGAAAAUAUUACGAAGAAAAUAGACCAGGAAAUUUUGAGCCAAGG